AUGUCACAAAAGGUCGGAAGGAAGGAUAUAAAUUUAGAACAAUCACCCACCUCCAAAAAAGCUGACGCAGUACAGGAUGAUAAAACUGCAGUUAGUUCCUCAAAAACCUCUGUUCAAUCAUCCAAUACUGAAGAAACGAAACUGAAAAAACAGGAAAAAGAUGUCAAAAAACGGGACAUAACUCAGAGUGAAUUAAAGAAAUCCACUCAAACUCAGAACGAUAAAAAUGAAGCGAAGAAACCUAAAAAUUCUGAGACUAAAAAUACAGUCAAUGAGGCUGAAAUCUCCGUGCCAUCCAAAGAAACGAAAGGAUCAGAAAAGUCUAGUGGAGCUCAAAUUGAAGGAACUCCUAUGCUAGAGGCUCUAAUCUCAACUGUACCAAUAUUGACUAAAGAACCUGCCUCUCCAGAGAAGAAACCUUCAAAGAAGAAUUCAAAGGAUCAGAAACAGUCAAUCAAAAUUGAGACCUCUCAAACAGCACUGACUCCGGAACGUAAAGAGAAUGUCUCUAAAACAACGCAAGAGGCCACAGAAAAGGUGAUCGAAAAUAAGAAACAAGUUAUCCAGUCAACAAAAACAAAAGAUGAUCAAAUUAAAGAUGACUCGAAUGCUCCAAAAUUGCCGGAGGAACCUCAGAAAACUCCAGUGAAGGAUCUAAAACAAUCAGGCAAGCCUGUAACUACGAAGGAAGAUCAAAAUAAGAAAUUGAAAGAUGCUCAGAAGAAGGAAACAACGGUUAGUGAAGAGAAACUCCCUGAGCCAGGGACGAAAAUCAGCAAGUCAGCCUCAAAAGCUGCUGAAGAAUCUGAAAAAAAGCAAGACAAAGAUUCGAAGCAACCUGCUCAAUCUGGGAAAACGGUAGAUUUGCAAUGCAAUGAAACCACCAGCAAGACACGAUCAGAUGUAUCUAAACAUGAGGAAGAGGUGGGGACAAAACAGAAGCAAUCGCAGGUAUCUAAAGUCACGAAAAAGAAUCAACCGGUAGAACAGAAAAAUUCUGUCACAAAAGAAAUUAAUAACAUCGCAAAAGAGAAUACAGCUAUAAUCAAUACACCAGAGUCCCUUAAGACACUGGAAGAGUCACCAAAGAGUCUCACUAUUGCAGCAGAAGAGGAAAAAACAUUAGUAACAGUUUUGACGACAUUAUCUAACAUAGGAAUCGUAGAUGCUAAAGAUGUCAGUAGCGCUUUAAGCCGCUCAGAAAAAACCGAAGAUGUAAUUGAGUUUGAACUCUCCUCUUCAGGUGAAUCUAAAGAAUUGAGGAGCAGUAGCAGCAUGAAAAACCCUGAUCUACCUAAAUCAACUGAUGUAGCCAACCCUAAAUCUGAAGUUGUUGAAAGCGAAAGUUCUGUGAGUGUUUUCAAAGAAACCAACAAGGAGAAAAAACGGGAUAACUCACCAGAAGCAUUUUUAACAAAGCCCCAAGACGCUACAAAAGAAUCAGUUUUUUGUCAAGUACCUGAUAAGGUGGUAGUUUCAGGAUUUACCAAUGAGCUGGAUGGUAAGGUAAAGGUUCAACAGCCAAAUGAAGAUCAGAUUUCUUCUGGAGGAAUUGCUUGCGCUGAAACCGAUGUUGAGAAAAUUCACGCACCUGAAGUAAUGGCUGUUGGUAGUCAGAUCAGUCAGGUAGAAGACAGCAACGGAGAAGUUGGAUCUUCGACAGUCAUUAAUGAUAUUCAAAAGUCGAAGGAAAGUGAAGUUACAGAAGUCAAUGCAUUCAAGCAUCACAUUGAUAUAGAAAUCGAGCAAAAGUCAACUCCAGGAGCAUCUUGCAAAGCAAAAAAAGAAAUUGUUGAGCGUAAAAAGCCAAAAAACGGGGUAUCUGUUGCUGUUCCUAAAUCAACGGAGCUUGAAGGAACAGCAACAGUCAAAACUAGCACUGUCAGCUCUACUAACGUUGAGAUUCCGACUGCUGUAGCGAACAUAGCUCCGUCUAAAAUUGAAAAACCUGCGUCAGAUGGGCAAAAAUCUGACAGUACUAAAUCUCCCGAAAAGGUGAAGAAAGUUGAACCAAAGGUUUGCAAGGUUUCACCUAGCGCAGCAAAGUCCUCUGUUGAGUCCACUGCCCCAACAAAAAGUGCAGUUGCAGGGAAACCUGAAGGAGAAAAAUUGAACAGUCCGAAUGAGUCUCCAGCUAGCGUGAAAACCACUGUCUGCUUCCCUGUUUCGGCUUGUAAAUCUGAGCAAAAAGGUAAUCUUCAGGAACAAACCGUUAAAACUUCUGAUGAUGAUAGCAUUAAAGACCAACCUCCAACUCCCGUCACUUCGAAACAAGAAAGUUCUUCCGUGCCAAAAGGUUCUCCAAACGUCAAUGACGGCAAGUCAGAAACAUGCGCUAUGAAGCAAAUUAGUCUUCCUGUUAAUACACCCUCUUGUAAAUCAAAAAAGAAAGUACUAAACCAUUAA
rnacentral:lncRNA from 1 species